AACUUCAACAACAUACAAAAAUACUAAAAAAUAGAAAAAUAUCCAAAAUCAAAGGGACAUUCAUAAUAAAACUCUGUCAUCUACCUCAAAAUAAGGUUCUUAAUAAAGACUAAAUAACAUUUCAUGAUUUCUAUCAAGUUCUAGAAUUACUCAAAAUACACCCCAUCAAAAUAAGACAAAAGCAAAUUCAAAAUUAAACAAAAAUGACAAGCUAUUCAUUUAAAAGCAUGCAUUCACAUUUGCAUCUGCCUCAAUAGCGCGUUGCGCCUCCAAUAUCGUAGCGGGGGGUCGAAAACGCUACGUAGCGCCGUUGUAGCACCGCUAAAGCGCGCUAUUGACUACAUAGAUUCCAAUAAUGUAUAUAGGAUAUAGUUACCCUUUAAACUCAAAUCCAUUAAUCAAACCCUAAAAGUUUUUCUAUUAUUUAUAUUAACUACAUAGCAAACUUCAAAACAACAAUUUCAUACAAAAAUACUUACGGUUUAUAAAGUUUACCAUACAUGUUGUCGAUCAAGUCAUCAA
rnacentral:lncRNA from 1 species